AAGCAGCCUGACUGUGUCUAAAUCCCUCCCUGGGGCACUGUUUCCAAAUUACAGUGUGGCAGGUUUGAUCCCUGCCACCCCGCCCCACCUGCCUCCGCAGGACUUUCCUCCAUCCUGGGCCCUGUGUGAUGGGAUGACGAGCCCUUCCAUCUGCCCCACCGUCCCUCCCAGUCCUCCUCCCUCACUCCUUCCCCACCUAUUGGAUCUGUCUGUCCAUUUGGCAUGGGGUGAAGCAGGCGGUGCCUACCCUUCAGCUCUCAACCCCAGGAUAGUGACAGCAGCAAGCAGACAAUUACAUUCUAGAACCAAUUAAUUAACUGAAUGCUCCCCUGCCAGUUGCUUCAUAUCACUGUCUUAUCAAGUCUGAGAGCACUGUCUCAUUAGGCCCAUUUAAGAGAUGCGGAAAUGGCAGGGCAAGCAGAUCACCACCCCAGGUGACAAAUGGCCUGGAUACAGGUGGAUGGGAUGCCUACUCAGGGCCUCCUGUCCUAUUUAUAGUAGGAACGGCUGCCUUUUGAAUGUGCCCUCUGGCCUCGGACAUGCUGCGUACAGGAGCACCGAUCCUCAAAGGACCAGUGAGCUUCCCCUAAACAUGGAACAACUGAAGGACUAGACACUUGGCUCCCAUGUGCCCAAGAGACAGAGGAGCUCUGAAUAGGGGCCUAAAAUGCACUGUUUAGCAGAAUGUUCCAUGAAUGUCCACUCCACACCCCACUGACAGUGUGAGGCAGAUCGUCGAGACAGAAAACUAAUAAAGUAGUUCUGGACUUAUACUCAAUGUUUGACCAAUUGAACCCAAUAGGCAUUUACGGAAUAUGUUACUCAACCACAGAAUAUACAUCUUCUCGUCUGCACUUAGAACAUAGUCUAAGAUCGACCACAUGUUUGACCAUAAAGCAAGUCUUAAUAAAUUCAGAAAAAGCAAAAUAAUUCCAAGUACACUCCUGGACCACCAUGCAAUAAAAAGAGAAAUCAAUACCAACAGAACCUCUCAAAACUACACAAAAACAUGGAAAUUAAAUGACUUGUUUCUGAAUAACUCUUGGGUGAACAAUGACAUUUAGGCAGAAAUCAAAAGUCCUUUGAAAUUAAUGAAAAUAGAGACACAGCUUACAAAAUCUUUGGGUUGCAGUUAAAGCAGUGUCAAGAGGAGAGUUUAAUCUCCUCUUAACACUGCUUUAUUUAACUCUUGAUGAUAAAUGCCUUCAUCAAGAGUUAGAACAAUCUCAAAUUAAUGAUCUAACAUCGUACCUAGGGGAAUG
rnacentral:lncRNA from 10 species